rnacentral:rRNA from 1 species
UGGGGAAUAUUGCACAAUGGGCGAAAGCCUGAUGCAGCAACGCCGCGUGAGGGACGACGGCCUUCGGGUUGUAAACCUCUUUUAGCUAAGGAAGAAGCGAAAGUGACGGUACUUGCAGAAAAAGCGCCGGCUAACUACGUGCCAGCAGCCGCGGUAAUACGUAGGGCGCAAGCGUUAUCCGGAAUUAUUGGGCGUAAAGAGCUCGUAGGCGGUUUGUCGCGUCUGCUGUGAAAACCCGAGGCUCAACCUCGGGCCUGCAGUGGGUACGGGCAGACUAGAGUGCGGUAGGGGAGAUUGGAACUCCUGGUGUAGCGGUGGAAUGCGCAGAUAUCAGGAAGAACACCGAUGGCGAAGGCAGAUCUCUGGGCCGUAACUGACGCUGAGGAGCGAAACGGGUGGGGAGCAAACAGGCUUAGAUGACCUGGUAGUCCACCCCGUAAACCGUUGGGGAACUAGUUUGUGGGGUCCAUUCCACGGAUUCCGUGACGCAGCUAACGCAUUAAGUU